AUUGAACGCUGGCGGCAUGCUUUACACAUGCAAGUCGAACGGUAACAGGUUAAGCUGACGAGUGGCGAACGGGUGAGUAAUGCAUCGGAACGUGCCCGAUCGUGGGGGAUAACGCAGCGAAAGCUGCGCUAAUACCGCAUACGAUCUGAGGAUGAAAGCGGGGGACCGUAAGGCCUCGCGCGAUCGGAGCGGCCGAUGUCAGAGUAGGUAGUUGGUGGGGUAAAGGCUCACCAAGCCAACGAUCUGUAGCUGGUCUGAGAGGACGACCAGCCACACUGGGACUGAGACACGGCCCAGACUCCUAAGGGAGGCAGAAGUGGGGAAUUUUGGACAAUGGGCGAAAGCCUGAUCCAGCAAUGCCGCGUGCAGGAAGAAGGCCUUCGGGUUGUAAACUGCUUUUGUACGGAGCGAAAAGGCUCUCUCUAAUACAGGGGGCUCAUGACGGUACCGUAAGAAUAAGCACCGGCUAACUACGUGCCAGCAGCCGCAGUAA
rnacentral:rRNA from 1 species